rnacentral:rRNA from 1 species
AUUGAACGCUGGCGGCAGGCCUAACACAUGCAAGUCGAGCGGAUGAAGGGAGCUUGCUCCUGGCUUCAGCGGCGGACGGGUGAGUAAUGCCUAGGAAUCUGCCUGGUAGUGGGGGAUAACGUCCGGAAACGGGCGCUAAUACCGCAUACGUCCUGAGGGAGAAAGUGGGGGUUCUUCGGACCUCACGCUAUCAGAUGAGCCUAGGUCGGAUUAGCUAGUUGGUGGGGUAAAGGCCUACCAAGGCGACGAUCCGUAACUGGUCUGAGAGGAUGAUCAGUCACACUGGAACUGAGACACGGUCCAGACUCCUACGGGAGGCAGCAGUGGGGAAUAUUGGACAAUGGGCGAAAGCCUGAUCCAGCCAUGCCGCGUGUGUGAAGAAGGUCUUCGGAUUGUAAAGCACUUUAAGUUGGGAGGAAGGGCAGUAAGUUAAUACCUUGCUGUUUUGACGUUACCAACAGAAUAAGCACCGGCUAACUUCGUG